CUGAUGCUGUAAUUCUGGACUGCAAAUCCCAGAGACCUCCAGGGCACUGGGAAGUGGAAGUGAACACACAGCCAGAAAGCUGUGUUCUAGCACACCCUGGCUUCUGGCCUGAGCCACAGCGGGAAUGUGGCUGCAUUUCCUGAAUCAAAGUGCCCAAAGCCUGCAGGACAGGGGAGCGAUGCCGGCACAGAGGCUGGGACUGGAGCCAGAGCUACAGGGGAGCUGAAAAGGCUUUGGAGGAGUCCAGAUCCGCUGCAGUCAGAGCUACUUGAAUCAUCACUAAGGCUGAUAUCUGGAAACAUUGGCAGGACUCUCAAGGGGCUAGAUGGUGACCAGAUAAGAGGAUAAGAAACAUUUACUCUCUCUUUUUGUUCUGUUUUUAAACUUAUGGUCAGUUUUG